rnacentral:tRNA from 1 species
GCCCCAGUAGCUCAGCUGGAUAGAGCAGCGGCCUUCUAAUUCGCUGGUCGGAGGUUCGAGUCCUCCCUGGGGUG